rnacentral:rRNA from 1 species
AUUGAACGCUGGCGGCAGGCUUAACACAUGCAAGUCGAACGGUAACAUGAAGAAGCUUGCUUCUUUGAUGACGAGUGGCGGACGGGUGAGUAAUGCUUGGGAAUCUAGCUUAUGGAGGGGGAUAACUACGGGAAACUGUAGCUAAUACCGCGUAGAAUCGAGAGAUGAAAGUGUGGGACCUUCGGGCCACAUGCCAUAGGAUGAGCCCAAGUGGGAUUAGGUAGUUGGUGAGGUAAAGGCUCACCAAGCCGACGAUCUCUAGCUGGUCUGAGAGGAUGACCAGCCACACUGGGACUGAGACACGGCCCAGACUCCUACGGGAGGCAGCAGUGGGGAAUAUUGCGCAAUGGGGGCAACCCUGACGCAGCCAUGCCGCGUGAAUGAAGAAGGCCUUCGGGUUGUAAAGUUCUUUCGGUAGCGAGGAAGGCAUUUAGUUUAAUAGACUAGGUGAUUGACGUAACUACAGAAGAGCACCGCA